rnacentral:lncRNA from 1 species
UAUAACUUCAAUAUAUUGUAGAUUAAGGCAAAUUUCUAUUGCAUCAUCUGCAAAACCUUCGUGUUGCUGGGAUGUAUGCUGCAUUGUGAAUUCUUUUCUCCUGUUGGGAGUGUGCGAACUCUUCCCUGUACUGUGUUGCGUUGGCUUUUUUUUUCUUUGAGGCGUGGAGCUUUCUUUUGUUGUGUUACUGCUUGUAUUGUGUGUUGAAUGUGUAAUGCUUUUCGUUUUCUGGCUUGCUGGUGGGAGUUUAUUUCACUGGGCAAAUACUGAAUAGAGUGUGUCCUGUAUUUCUGAGGAUUUUUUUUUUAGGUUGUAUUAUUGGAUUGAUAAUAUUUUGGGUAGGAUGUGGGUUGUUCCUAGCAAGGUUAUUUUUUGGACAGUGUGUAGAGUUGAGUAUCCAAGGAUAGCUUCUACAUUUUUGUUCAUAUGAUUUUUUAUCAUGCCCAAUGCUCCAAUUAUUAUUGGUAUUGUAUUUACCUUCAUGCCCCACAUUUUGAAUACUUCAAUUUCGAUGUUUUGUAUUUCGAUAAUUUCUCCAUUUCUGUUUUGACAAUAUUUUCAUGAGAAGGGACUGCAAUGUCCAAAAGUAAGCAGGAGGUGUUUUCCCCCAAUCCUUGACUAUUAUGUUUGGGCAAUUAGAUUUUAUUUCUUUGUCGGUUUGAACCGGCAUAUCUCAGAGGAUUGUUACCUCAUCGUUGUCUUGUACCUUGCUUGACUCAUGCUUAUACCAGCUGCUGUCAGUUUUGAUGUUGUAAUGUUGGCAUAUUAACCAGUGGAUAUAACUGCUUACUUUGUCGUGUUUGUAUACAUGUUCAGACUUGGCAAGGACUGGGCAGCCUGAGAUGAUGUGGUUAACUGUUUCAUUGUGCUGGUUGCACACUCUGCAUUUGGUGUUGAGGCCUGCUUUAAUUAUGUUGUUUUUGUAAUUGCUUGUAGUCAGGUAUUUAUCUUGUGUAGGGAGAAUCAGUCCUUCCGUUUCGGUUUUUAGUUCAGAGAUUUUGAGCCAUUGUUGGCUUUUACAUAGGCUCACUUCCUCUUUGUCAAGUCUUGCCGGGUAUUGGCCAUGAAAUGAUUUUUAUUUCCAUUUCUACCGCGGUAUAUUUUGUAAUUUAGUUUUAAUGUUUUUUGUCUCUCUAACCAUUUCUGCUAUGUUGUCAUCUGAGGUCAGUUUGUUAGUGUAUUUUGCUUCUCUUCUGUAUUGAGAAAAACAUUUUCUUUUUUUUUUCAUGUUAUUUUACUAAAUGCAGUAGUCUUCCGUUCUUUGUUUCUAAGUAUUUUGUUAGUCCAACUGUUGUUAUUCUAUAGUAGCUUUUUAACUGUAUCAGACCACGGCCUUCUUCUGAGCGGGGUAGCAAUGAUCCGUUUGUGUCUGUUUUGGGGUGGUGAUUUCGGUACGCUGUUAGUAGUUUUCUGUUUUUUCUGUCUAGGUUUCUCAAUUCACUGAUCUUCCACUUUACUAUGUUAAAGCUGUAAUUUAUGACUGGUAUCACGAGCGUGUUAUCUUAUUUUUAGCAUUAAGUUCAGUGUUUAAUAUUAGUCUAAUUCUUCUGUAAUACUCUCUCCUAAUUUUCUCUUUCACUUAUGUAUGUUGUAUUUUAGCUGUUUCUUCUUUUCCUAGAUAUUUGUGUGGGCGGUUGUGGUCUAAUUCUCUAAUUUCUGUGUCUAUGUCGAUUGCAGUGUUCUCAGUGUUAAAUAACCUACCUCUUCUCAGUGUGACUCUGGCAAUUUGUCCAGGCCCAUGAUCAUUCUGAUGUCAUUGCUGAAACUCUGAACAAUUUUGGUAAGGUUUCUCUGUUCCAUGAUGCUUUUAGCGAAAAGUUUUAGGCUAAAAUUACACUAGGAGAUAGUUUAUUUUUUUGUCCGUAGCACCUAUAACCCAUGAUGGUUUCGUUUAACAAGUUUGUUUGCGGGAUCAGAGAAAGGCAGAAAAGCAGGGGUGACAGUGAUUCUCCCUCGAAAAUCCCUCUUCUUAUCGAUAUAGGAUAGGUUUUAAUAACUUAUGAGUCACUUUUUAACGUUAUACUGGUUUUUCAGUUUGCCAUUCCAUGUUUAAUGUAUUUUAGUCGUGGUAGGGCUACCUUACUUGUGUGGAGAGGUUCCAGUAUCCAUGAGUGUGGAACACUGUCGAAUGGUUUUUGGUAAUCAACCCAAGUCAUGUUCAGGAGCUUUUUGUCAAGUGAGUGGUGUAUGUUUGAAUAUAACAUGGCUAAAAUGGAAUGUGUUCACGCUGAAAGAGAUUUGGUAAUUGUCAUAAUGCUCGAAGAACUUCCUGUAGACGUUCUACCUUUGCAAUUAAAGCAUCAAGUCAAAAUGCAGAGUUAUAUAUGUUUUCCGACGGAGAACGCGACGACAAG